AUUGAACGCUGGCGGCAUGCCUUACACAUGCAAGUCGAACGGUAACGGGCCUUCGGGUGCCGACGAGUGGCGAACGGGUGAGUAAUACAUCGGAACGUGCCCGAUCGUGGGGGAUAACGAGGCGAAAGCUUUGCUAAUACCGCAUACGAUCUACGGAUGAAAGCAGGGGACCGCAAGGCCUUGCGCGGACGGAGCGGCCGAUGGCAGAGUAGGUAGUUGGUGGGAUAAAAGCUUACCAAGCCGACGAUCUGUAGCUGGUCUGAGAGGAUGAUCAGCCACACUGGGACUGAGACACGGCCCAGACUCCUACGGGAGGCAGCAGUGGGGAAUUUUGGACAAUGGGCGCAAGCCUGAUCCAGCCAUGCCGCGUGCAGGAUGAAGGCCUUCGGGUUGUAAACUGCUCUUGUACGGAACGAAAAGCCUUCUUUUAAUACAGGAGGGUCAUGACGGUACCGUAAGAAUAAGCACCGGCUAACUACGUG
rnacentral:rRNA from 1 species